CGACCUAGGAGAUGCAGCUGACGCGUUGGCGAAGUGGUCCAGGUGAGGCUGCUGCCUCCUUUCCUUAACUGGCAGCGGAGACUGCAGAUCGUUCGGUGGAGGAGAACCGUAGAAAACUGUUCAAGAAUUCCUUUUGCUCUUCUGUUCCCUGUGGCUUUGGAAGUGGAGGAACUGGGGUCACAUCCUACCUUUG